ACCUGGAAGGGCAGAUCCAUGGCACUGUUUCCAAUCUGAUUCACAUUUGGCAGCGACCCACCAUAGUACUGGCCACGACUCUGUCCCAGCUGCAAAUAUUGGGUUUUCUGCAACUGUAACUAAAAGAAAACAAAGAGGAAAGUGUAAGGGUCACACAGUUGUUUUUCAGCUUUUAAUUAACUCUUCCCCAUAUCACUGAUCACUGAGAAUGGAUACCACCUGCAACAGUAUGGAUUUAACUCAUGAGGAUACCACUCCUCGGCCACACAGAACCUCUGUGACAGCACACAGGGAUUGCUGUGGAAUCAACAAUCACAUUCCAUUUCCAACAAAGAGCAGCCCCAUGGAAGCACACGGUCCUUCUGUCACCUGCUGCACUGCUAAAGCAGGAGUAAAGAACCCGUAUCAGUCCAGCCAUGCCUCUAUCAUCAAACCCAACCAGCUGGGCACACGCACAGCCGAUGUGUGAGGAAGUCAGAUCAGUGUAUGGAGUGUAUGGUUUAACCAAACACACUUGGUAGCAAUCUAGGUAGCAGAGAUGCUUGCUUCCCACCAUCAGCAAAGGAAACAGCACUACAGCUUCACCAUAUUGCCUCUGAGGUGGAGCAGAGAUGUUUCCAGCAAGGUGAGGCAGAGCCAUGCUGCUCAUGCUGGCAGUGAGGCCGAAGCAGAGCCCUGUGCUAAGCAGUAGUGGUGGCAGUGGGGCUGAGCAGUGCUGAUGGUACCACUCAGAGAGGAGCAACGGGAAUGCUGUGCUGAUGGCGUGCUGGCACUUCUGGGUCCAAGCAGGAACACCUGAAUCAGACAGCUCAGAGAUCCCAUCCACAAAGCACCACCUGGACCCCCCCACCUUGCACUUCCAUCCCCUGACACAACAUUACAACACAGGCACACGAGAGCAGAGGAGCACUGCACUGUGUUCCAGCCCCCGGCGCAGAGCUGUGAAGGCACAGCGUUGGAACGAGCUGUGCUUUUUGCCUGCUCCGUACAUAUGUUUUUGUUGCUACAAAAAGGCUUGCUUGGGAUUGGUGCCAAACGUGAAGUAAGUGCUUCAGCAGGUGCUGGUCUCUCCUAAGGAACCUCCUAUAAGGCAUGCUGGGCUGGGGAGUUGCUUCAUGUCCUCAGUACGUACCCAGCACAACGUAACGGGGAGGUCACCACCAUUUGUCUUCCUACUGCACUUAAACAUAGAAAUGAGGAAGCACAGGAGAUCAAGAAUUACAGCAGACCUCAAAACCGACCUGGUUAUGCAGCUUUGGUGUGCCAUUCAUCUCACCAGCACUCCCUUCAAUAAACACUUUUGGAGCUCUGUGCCAAAACUAAAAGCAAUUGCUUUACUGCUAUCCGGUAUUACUGCAGGCUCUGUGUUUGCUCCUCUCCUCGGCCUGCUGCCUCUUCAGUGCUCACCACCUGUAUUCAUUCCCUGAGCCACAAGAACUCAGCGAGCCUACACUGCAGCAUUCCCAUCCCUGUGCUCUGUGCCCAAGGUAAGAGCUGCAGACAGCAGAACAGACCAGAACAGACCAGCUCUGGCCUGAGGCAGCUGGGGGGCAAAGGAAAAAGCUGUUCUUUGUCACAGCACUUCAUUUCUGCUCAGCACGGCUGCUCCAAAGGAACGCUCCCCAUAACACAGACCCUGACCAGAGCUCUCAUUUCCCUCCACCACCAUUUCUCUUCCUCUCUUCCUCUACUUCAAAAGUUUUUAAGCCAGAAACCAAUUUGAAGUUAUUUUGUCAUUAAACCAUUUCCG
rnacentral:lncRNA from 1 species